AGGACGAACGCUGGCGGCGUGCUUAACACAUGCAAGUCACGGGGGCCCGCAAGGGCAACCGGCGAACGGGUGCGUAACACGUGAGCAACCUGCCGAUCUGUGGGGGAUAGCCGGGCUAACGCCCGGGUAAUACCGCAUACGGUUGCCGAGGGGAGUCCCUUGGCAAAGAAACCUCCGGGGCAGAUCGAGGGGCUCGCGGCCUAUCAGCUUGUUGGUGGGGUAAUGGCCUACCAAGGCGACGACGGGUAGCCGGCCUGAGAGGGCGACCGGCCACACUGGGACUGAGACACGGCCCAGACUCCUACGGGAGGCAGCAGUGGGGAAUAUUGCGCAAUGGGCGAAAGCCUGACGCAGCGACGCCGCGUGAGGGAUGACGGCCUUCGGGUUGUAAACCUCUUUCAGCAGGGACGAAGCGAAGUGACGGUACCUGCAGAGAAGCGCCGGCCAACUACGUGCCAGCAGCCGC
rnacentral:rRNA from 1 species